CGACUAGGUGGCGCCUGUGGUUCCCUGCGCACUCCAGGUCGUAUGCAGUCGCAGAAACAGUCGCUGGAAAGCUCGGACCAACACGCAACUCCUCAACCUAUUGGUGAUUCUGCAACGGUAGAGGACUUGCUCCAUCGAGAGUGUGAGCGCUUGGUCAGCCAGCUCCGGAGACGAGGAGCACAGCUGGAGCAGCGCUUGCGCUCUAAUGCUCAACACCAGAUAAGGCUCUUGGAGCGGCUGCUGGACUAAGGCCGUGUUUACCCAUGAGCACAUACAAAGUAUCUGCCUUAAGGUCUGGAUUCGGCGAGAAACUGCCGGUGUUCCCGACAGGACGCUUCAAGAGAGAGCUGCGUUGUCUGCUUUACGCUGCGAAAACAGUCUAGUCCAACGAGUGCCGUCCUUGAACGGUGGAAAAUUCUGCGCCUGUGGUGGCAUAGAAGCACCGGCAACUGGUGCCCGGUGCCAUACUCUGCUGUGGUGUUUGACCUAUGUUCCUAUUCCAGGCGAGGCACUCCACAGGGACGCGGUCUGAAGCCGUUGGCCGUCUAUCAGAGCGACAGCGCGUCGAGUUCGGCCCCUUGCCCAUGAUAGUCGGAUGCGCGUUGCCCGAAGCGCAAGUUGCUUACUAACCGGGAACGCUUGCGCUCUCAAUGUAGAACGGGUGCACAGUAUUGAAAACGCACUCUUGCGCCGAGCAGAGAGCAUCCUGCGCACUGCAUCGUAGGCGGCCGGUCUGGGUAUCAAGAGGCUAGCGUUUCGGAAAUCUCAGUGCUUUCUGGCAAAACGCUUCAAAAAGCACUGAUGACGAUAGAGUAGAAAUUCCCAGUGUUCCCACUCAGGGGACAUACACUUUAGACAGCGCAGCAGCCAAAUCUGGUUUCAUGGAAUCCGACAACCAGGUAGGGAUCGGCAAUUUCUUUUGCUCGAGAAAACUCGGCUGAAACAUUUUCUUUUGAUAGCGAGAACCGCCAUCACAAAGGAUCGUCACGAUGGUAUGCCCAGGGCCGAGACUCUCUGCAACCCUGAUCGCGCCGGCAAUAUUGAUACCACUUGAGAGGCCAAUGUGCAACCCUUCGUGCCGCACGACAUCAUAAGCUGCUUGCAGUGCCUCUGCAUCACUGAUCUCGAAGCUCAUAUCUGGUACGAAUCCUUCAAGGUUCCCAGUAAUUCGACUUUGACCAAUGCCCUCGGUAAUAGAAUCGCCGACGGAGACGAGCUCUCCGCAUUGAUAGUAUCGCACGAGAGCGGCCCCUUGCGGAUCCGUUAGUGCAAUUUUAAUGCCAGGAUUCUUUGCGCGCAAAAAUGCACUGACCCCCGCCAGCGUGCCGCCAGUGCCGACAGCACAGUUGAACGCGUCAAUAUGACCAUCGAGUUGAUCCCAAAUUUCUGGACCGGUAGUUUCCUCAUGAGCUCUGCGGUUUGCAGGGUUAUCGAACUGGUUUGCCCAGAAUGCACCAAGUUCCUUGGCUAGCCUCUCGCUCAGGCGUACGUAGUUGUUCGGGUUUCUGUAUGGCGCAGCUGGAACUUGCACGAGCUCGGCACCACAGGAUCGGAGAAACUCUUUCUUUUCCUCAGACUGUGUUUCUGGAAUAACUAUCACCGUUCUAUACCCGCGGGAGUUUCCCAAUAGCGUUAAACCGAUACCAGUGUUCCCUGCUGUGCCUUCUACCACAAUUGAGCCGAGCUUGAGCGUCCCUCGCUUUUCAGCGUCGGUGAGAAGGUAGAGAGCAGCGCGGUCUUUCACAGAUCCGCCGGGUUCCAUAAA